rnacentral:rRNA from 1 species
UACGUAGGGGGCAAGCGUUGUCCGGAUUUAUUGGGCGUAAAGAGCGUGUAGGCGGCCUGGUAGGUCAGCUGUGAAAACUCGAGGCUCAACCUCGAGACGCCGGUUGAAACCAUCAGGCUAGAGUCCGGAAGAGGAGAGUGGAAUUCCCGGUGUAGCGGUGGAAUGCGCAGAUAUCAGGAGGAACACCGGUGGCGAAGGCGGGUCUCUGGGCAGUAACUGACGCUGGAGGAGCGAAAAGCGUGGGGGAGCGAACAGG